rnacentral:misc_RNA from 1 species
GAUGAAGAACGCAGCGAAAUGCGAUACGUAAUGUGAAUUGCAGAAUUCAGUGAAUCAUCGAAUCUUUGAACGCACAUUGCGGCCAUAGGUAUUCCUUUGGCCAUGCCUGUUCGAGCGUCAUUUACACCCUCAAGCCUAGCUUGGUGUUGGGCGCCUGUCCCGCCGUUUUCGCGCGCGGACUCGCCUCAAAGUCAUUGGCGGCGGUCGUGCCGGCCCCCUCGCGCAGCACAUUUGCGCUUCUCGGAGGCCCGGCGGAUCCGCGCUCCAGCAAGACCUUUCACGACUUGACCUCGGAUCAGGUAGGGAUACCCGCUGAACUUAAGCAUAUCAAUAAGCGGAGGA